CAAUAGCGUAUAUUAAAGUUGUUGCGGUAAAAAAGCUCGUAGUUGGAUUUCUACCGAAGAUAGCCGGUCGGGUCUUCGACCUUGUAUCUGGUCUUGUCUUUGGUAUCCUCAUAGGGAACGUUUCUGCGCUUUAUUGCGUGGUGCGGUAUCUAUGACUUUUACUUUGAGGAAAUUAGAGUGUUCACGGCAGGCAAACGCCUUGAAUAUAUUAGCAUGGAAUAAUAACAUAGGAUCUUCGUCCUAUUUUGUUGGUUUCUAGGGCUAAGAUAAUGAUUAAUAGGGAUAAUUGGGGGCAUCUGUAUCAACGCGUCAGAGGUGGAAUUCUUGGAUUGCGUUGCGACAAACUACUGCGAAAGCAUUUGCCAAGGAUGUUUUCAUUGA
rnacentral:rRNA from 1 species